rnacentral:rRNA from 1 species
CCACCGCGGUUAUACGAGUAACCCAUAUUAAUACUUACCCGGCGUAAAGGGUGGUUACAGAAAAAUCUGCAAUAACUAAAGUUAAGACUCCAUCAAGCUGUUAUACGCACCCAUGAUUGGAAACAUCAACAACGAAAGUGACUUUAUUAAAAUUAGAAACCUUGAUUCCACGACAGUUGGGCCCCAAACUAGGAUUAGAUACCCUACUAUGCCCAUCUACAAACUUAGACAAUAAUUUACCAUAUUGUCCGCCAGAGUACUACAAGCGCUAGCUUAAAACCCAAAGGACUUGGCGGUGCCUCAGACCCCCCUAGAGGAGCCUGUUCUAUAACCGAUAAUCCCCGUUAAACCUCACCACUCCUUGCCAAUACCGCCUAUAUACCGCCGUCGUCAGCUCACCUUGUGAAAGGAAAAAAGUAAGCAAAAAGAAUUAAAUUCCAAACGUCAGGUCGAGGUGUAGCGAAUGAAGUGGAAAGAAAUGGGCUACAUUUUCUAUCAAGAAAACACGGAUAGUAAACUGAAAAACUACUUAAAGGUGGAUUUAACAGUAAGGGAAAAUUAGAACAUUUCCCUGAAGCCGGCUCUGAAGCGCGCACACACCGCCCGUCACUCUCCUCAACAAAUCCAUGCUUUUAUUUAAAAAAAUAAUUUAAUCAAGAGGAGGCAAGUCGUAACAUGGUAAGUG